ACCUCAAUUUUUUUUGAUAUUGAAGAUGGAUCAGAAGAGGAUGCUGGAUGGUGGAGAAAAAUUAGAUGAAGACUCUCUUCUCUUUGGUAUUUCCCUCACCCAAAAAUCUAGAACAGUUCUAGGUCUCUAACCCGAGAGAAGAACGGUUUCCUCUUUUGUUCAUGCCAAGGAAGAUGGAAACCUACCCAAAGCUCACAUCUCAAAGAAGAAUUUUUACCCCACUUUCUUUUUGGUAUCUCAUAGUGAAAAGCUCUCUUAGUUUGGUGCACAAAAAUGUAGCCAUUUUAUAAUUGUCGCACAAACC
rnacentral:lncRNA from 1 species